rnacentral:rRNA from 1 species
UACAGGGGGGGCAAGCGUUGUUCGGAAUUACUGGGCGUAAAGCGCACGUAGGCGGCUUUGUAAGUUAGAGGUGAAAGCCCGGGGCUCAACUCCGGAAUUGCCUUUAAGACUGCAUCGCUCGAAUUGUGGAGAGGUAAGUGGAAUUCCGAGUGUAGAGGUGAAAUUCGUAGAUAUUCGGAAGAACACCAGUGGCGAAGGCGACUUACUGGACACAUAUUGACGCUGAGGUGCGAAAGCGUGGGGAGCAAACAGG